AGCCACCGGGCUCUGGGCUGCGGAGGAGGUUGGAGGUGACCUUCCAGAAGGAACGUGGGACAAGGGAGCAAGUGAGGACCUGGUGGGUAGUGGUUACUCUGUGAGAAGCCAGCAGCACCAACCAAAUAGAAGGUGGAGAGUGGCCCCCAGCUUCCCAGUUUGGGUUUGGGCCAAGACAACUAAGAAAAGGGUCCACCGUCUUCGCUCCAGGUCAGAUGACCCUGCAUUGUAUCAAGUAGAAAAAUGUCUAACCAGGACAGAGGAGGAUACGAACCCUCUCAGCUCAUAGAUGCAAGAAGAGAGAGAGGUUUGCUGGAAAUCGUGGCUGACUACCUCAGAAGGACCCAGAAGACCCGAACUUUCUGGUUUUGCCUUUCACCUUGCUCUGAAACUUCUCCCAACACUGGAAGACAAGAAAGUUCCGCCUUACCUCUGCCCCACCUCCACCCCCCGGACCAGGGAGAUUCUUCUCUUUGGGCAAGCAGGCUUGCUGGGCAAUCGUGAGCCGC
rnacentral:lncRNA from 1 species